AGAACGAACGCUGGCGGCAGGCUUAACACAUGCAAGUCGAACGCGUGUAGCAAUACACGAGUGGCGCACGGGUGAGUAACGCGUGGAUAUCUGCCUUUUGGUUCGGAAUAACCCCGGGAAACUGGGGCUAAUACCGGAUGGUUCCUACGGGAUAAAGAUUUAUCGCCAAAAGAUGAGUCCGCGUCCGAUUAGCUAGUUGGUGGGGUAAUGGCCUACCAAGGCGACGAUCGGUAGCUGGUCUGAGAGGACGGUCAGCCACACUGGGACUGAGACACGGCCCAGACUCCUACGGGAGGCAGCAGUGGGGAAUAUUGGACAAUGGGGGCAACCCUGAUCCAGCCAUGCCGCGUGAGUGAUGAAGGCCUUCGGGUUGUAAAGCUCUUUUGGCGGGACGAUGAUGACGGUACCCGCAGAAUAAGCCCCGGCUAACUUCGUGCCAGCAGCCGC
rnacentral:rRNA from 1 species